rnacentral:lncRNA from 1 species
GAGCUUGUCUGGACUCGGGGCUCACCGCGCUUCCUUUCUGGCAGACAGGGAUUGGAUUGUCUGUUUACCGGGCGUUUGGAGCCAGCUCCCAGGUGCUUUACUCGCAGUGUCCACCAGGUGGCAGGCCACACACUUGGAUCCGGGCAGCCAAGGGCGCGCGCAGCCGCAGCUGGAGCCGGGAGCGCGGGGCAGUUUGCUGAGGGGAUGUGAAAGUACCCCAGGCUUUGGCAAGCUUUGGGCGUGCCAAGAGGACAGCGUCGGAUUCCCGCCGAUGCCUUCGCUAGAGCUGAAGCCGGAGGAGGGAUGAUGAAACUGAGGCACAGAGAGGUUAUGUGAAUUUCCUGAGGCCAUGUGUCUGGUAAGCAGAGGAGCCAGCAAACCUUUGUACAAGGUCAUGGACCUUUGGCAGAAAUCCUGCAGCUGUGAUGCUGAGUCUUCAUUGCAUCCUGUCAGGUUCUGAGCUCGGCAAACCAGGGACUGUCUUAUGCAUUUUUGUAUCUGUACUGGCCUGCACAAUACUCGAUUAAUGAUUCAGCCACCUUUGGAAAAGAAAGCCCCAUAUCAUCUGCAUGAGGCUUUGGAGGGACAUCUAAACACAAGCCAUAACGGAAGUUCAAACUGAGGGAGAGAAGACUAGUAAAUCAUUUUGUACCACAACUGACUGACCU